rnacentral:rRNA from 1 species
CUGUCCAAGGAAGUCCUCAUUCAAGUUGCAUCGCUUGAGACAUCGCAUGCCAUUUGGACUGCCUUGGCCACCAUGUUUUCUGCUGUCUCGCUGUCCAGGGCCAACAAUCUUCGCGCCUCACUCACCAACGCCCAGAAGGGUUCCCUCUCUGCCUCGGAUUACUUUGGGCAUAUGCGCUCCCUCUCCGAUGAGCUUGCAGCGGUGGGCAAACCACUCGGGGAGGGGGAGCUCAUCUCCUUCAUCAUCACCGGCCUUGACAUGGACUACCAACCCAUCAUCUUCGCGUUGGACGUCCGCACCGAGCCCAUCACCGUUGACAUCCUCUUCUCCCUCGUGGCCAAUUUUGAUCAGUGGGUGGAGAUGUUUCAUGGCAAUGGCAAUGGUGGUUUCAAAUCAUCAGCCAACGCCGCAUCACGA